GUUUGAUCCUGGCUCAGGAUGAACGCUAGCGGCAGGCUUAACACAUGCAAGUCGAGGGGUAUAGUUCUUCGGAACUAGAGACCGGCGCACGGGUGCGUAACGCGUAUGCAAUCUACCUUUUACAGAGGGAUAGCCCAGAGAAAUUUGGAUUAAUACCUCAUAGUAUUAUGAAAUGGCAUCAUUUUAUUAUUAAAGUCACAACGGUAAAAGAUGAGCAUGCGUCCCAUUAGCUAGUUGGUAAGGUAACGGCUUACCAAGGCUACGAUGGGUAGGGGUCCUGAGAGGGAGAUCCCCCACACUGGUACUGAGACACGGACCAGACUCCUACGGGAGGCAGCAGUGAGGAAUAUUGGACAAUGGGCGCAAGCCUGAUCCAGCCAUGCCGCGUGCAGGAUGACGGUCCUAUGGAUUGUAAACUGCUUUUAUACGAGAAGAAACACUACUUCGUGAAGUAGCUUGACGGUAUCGUAAGAAUAAGGAUCG
rnacentral:rRNA from 1 species